GAUGAACGCUGGCGGCGUGCCUAACACAUGCAAGUCGAGCGAUUUACUUCGGUAAAGAGCGGCGGACGGGUGAGUAACGCGUGGGUAACCUGCCCUGUACACACGGAUAACAUACCGAAAGGUAUGCUAAUACGGGAUAAUAUGCUUUAGUCGCAUGGCUGAAGUAUCAAAGCUCCGGCGGUACAGGAUGGACCCACGUCUGAUUAGCUAGUUGGUAAGGUAACGGCUUACCAAGGCGACGAUCAGUAGCCGACCUGAGAGGGUGAUCGGCCACAUUGGAACUGAGACACGGUCCAAACUCCUACGGGAGGCAGCAGUGGGGAAUAUUGCACAAUGGGCGAAAGCCUGAUGCAGCAACGCCGCGUGAGUGAUGAAGGCCUUCGGGUCGUAAAGCUCUGUCCUCAAGGAAGAUAAUGACGGUACUUGAGGAGGAAGCCCCGGCUAACUACGUGCCAGCCGCCGCCGUAA
rnacentral:rRNA from 1 species